CCCUGGUAGCUCAGAUGGUAAAGAAUCUGCCUGCAAUGCAGAAAACCUGGGUUCAAUCCCUGGAUCAGGAA
rnacentral:tRNA from 1 species